UUGGACGGUCAUAGCGGAGUGGUUACACCUGUUCCCGUUUCGAACACAGAAGUUAAGCACUCCUACGUUCCGGCGCGUACUGCAUUUAUGUGUGGGAGAACCGGAAAGCUGUCCUCC
rnacentral:rRNA from 1 species